AGGAUUUGUUUAUUAUUCCUUGCCUUGAGCUAGGAGUCUAACGGAAAUAGCCUUUCUACUUCUACUUCUACGGGGUAUUGGUAGGGACUACGUACAUCUUACCCUCUCAGACCCUAAUAUGUGGGAAUACACUGAAUUUGUUGUUGUUGUUGAUGAUGAAACUAUCACUAUCAUAUUUUAGUUGUGUUUUGCUUUAUCUCGUAUCAAACCACCACCAAGCGAAUGUGUUUUCGAUCAAUAUUUCUUCAACAUCUGUGCAGGUGAUUUUAAAUAUUUUCUCAGCCAUGGCAACAUUAUGACUGCAUAAUUGCCUAGAACAAUGAUACAGUAACUAACUGUGUUACUAUUAAGCUCCAUAUACAUGCGCAAAUAUUAAAUAUCAAUAAAAUAUCUACUAUCCUCAACGUAAUUCUGGAAACCUCCGAUGCACUUUCAUUCUUCUUCUGUUUUAUCCUUUCUUCUGCUGCUACAAUGAAUAAUAAUUUUGUUUUAGGGGAAGCAGUGGAAAGCUUGGUGUAUAGGAGAGGUAGUGGACUGAUUUUGGAAAAUGUUUGUUUAUGAGUCAAGAUUAUUUUAUUAGAAGAAGGUUGAGAGGACAAUUUUUGAAUGAGCAGUAAAUUUGUUUUCCUAAUUUAGGUGAAAUCUUAGGGUAGUUUCAUCUUCAUAAAGCUUCAUCAUUUACUUACGUGUCUGCUUCAACUUUAAUUUAUCUCUUUCACCCCUCUCCACAUCUCUAACGUUCUUCUCAUAAAAUUUUCCGCUGUGAAAAAGUUUUUGACGAUUAUUGCUAAUUCUGGGCUGCACCGAACAUGCUAUUAGGACAUUAUUUAUUUAUAAUGGCGUCGAUUGCACUGCCGCUGACAUUUGAUGUAAACCCUCAGAAAUUCAACUUCUCUAAAAACCCUAAAUUGACCUCCCAAUUGAAGCGAUCAUCAUCUUUCUUUUCCUUCACUCUCUCAAACUCUAAGGUUUCCAGUUCCAAUUUUUGUUGUCGUUGCUGGAACUGAACUGUUGGUGAUGGUGAAACUGCUGAGCCAUCGCCGUCGGCUUCUAAUUGGGAAUGAGAUUUCAUUUCAAGAUGCAGUUAAGAAUGCGAUGAAAUAGUUAGAUGAAUAUGUGAAUCGGUCAUCAAAAAGAGUGGGACUUGCCGAGGAUUCUUGGAUUUGGUAUCUUGAUGAUUGUUUGUUGCUUUAGAAGGAAAAAGAAGAUGGUUUGUUUCCUGGAAAGAUGGAAAAGGGAGAUAUGUCUCCUGAGAAGGCAAUUUCAAGGAGUCAAGAUGCUAAUAAUAGAUUAGUUUUCUUUGAGGGUUGUAACUAUGCAUUUGAUUUAGAAGAUUUGCUUAGAGCUUCUGCGGAAGUAUUGGGGAAGGGCACGUUUGGUAUGGUGUAUAAAGUGAUAUUAGAAGAUGCUACCACAGUGGUUGUGAAGAGGUUGAAGGAUGUAGUUGCUGGGAAGAAGUUUGAGCAACAAAUGGAGAUUGUGGGAAGUAUAAAACACAAAAAUGUAGUCGAGCUUCGAGCAUAUUACUAUUCAAAAGACGGAAAGCUUAUUGUCUCUGACUAUUUCAGUAAGGGUAGUGUUGCUGCAAUGCUCCAUGAUUCAUGCUGCUCCUUUAUUUAACAAGAAUAGGUAUAUUAAUUAGUAACUUUUCAUAUGAUUGUCAAAAUCAAUUAUUUGCUAUCCCUAACUAUGCUGCUCAGGCUCUUCAAAAUGCCGCCAGGUGCAUGUCAGAUCCUUCAAAAGUAGAACAUAUAUGGAGGAUCCAACACAAGUAUGACAACAUUCUUGGAGACUCCGAGUUACAUAGUCUCUAAGUGAGAUUUUAUGAUCAGUCAUGUUAGUUUAGUGAAUUGAAAAACAUAUAGCAAUUAAAAACAACAUAGAAUCUUCCAAUCUAAAGAACAACUAAUAUAAAUUGUUGUGCUAUGGGUAGGGCCAAGUGGGAAUCCACUGAGGUAUAUAUAUUGUAUGUUCCAUAUAUUAUUCUCUUUCCAGCUUAGCAGUUAGUUGUACCUAAAAUGUGGACGAUCCUAACAUGGGGUUUACGCAUCUCUGUGCGGCAGUGACUCUUUUCUGUUAAUAAGAUAAUCAAAAUCCUAUAUCUAUUUUAUAAUUCCACAACAUAUUUUACUUACAAAUCAUUGUCAAUACUCCUUUGUCUCUAGAGUUUUUCGAUUAUUACACUAUUUGACUGAAUUAUUUCAUAGGAUGUGGAUAAUCAUUUCUGAUCUCUAUCCACCUUUUUAUAGCAAGUCAAAAUCGUUCAUAAUUUUGUCGAGGUCCCAGCUUCUUUUUUCCCAAUUCUUUUUUGUCCACCAGGCAUUUGCACAUGAUGUCAAAGUGCAUGAAUGACUAAGCUUUAAAGAGAAUAUUGUUUUGAGUUUGUUGGCAUCUUUCAUUACCAUUAUCAUUGGUAGGACCUGAUUUAAUUGUCUAGAAGUUUAGAUUAAGGAAUCCUAAGCUAUUGUCAACCUUAAUAUGCUUUGAAUAUUUUGAGAACAUGACGACAAAAGGCGUUAUGCUUAUGUUACGUAUUUACUCCCCUAUUUUUGCUGUUUGAGUUAGGAGUUCUGUUCUUCUCAAACCAAAUAGAGUAAAAUGGAAACUUGUUGAAAUUGAAAGUAUUAACUUGGCCACAAAAAAAAGAAAAUCAUAGGAGUGCUAUGUGUAGCUUUCCACUAAAGUGAAAAGUCCUGCAAGGUAUAUUUUAAUUUUAAGUGCUUCGCAAUUUGCUUAUUCUAAGUUAAAGGACUGACCAGGAGUUCAUUACCAUUACCAUCUUGCAUGAUAUGCUGCAUUUUGCUGAUGAGAGGAGUGAAUUGCUUACUUGGUCUGCCCGGGUUAGAGUAGCUCUUGGCACUGCUCGAGCUUUAGAGUAUGUUAUAGCUGCAUAGUAUUUUGCCAGUGCUGCCCCUUUCUUGUAAGUUUUUCAUAAAACUUGAACCUCAUCUUUUCAGGUACUUGUAUGAAGUCUGACUACAUUCUAUUAAACAUAGAAACUUCAAAUCCACAAAUAUUUUACGGGAUGAAGAGCUCAAUCCCCAUUUAUUAGAUUGUGGGUUAGCAGCUUUGACUCCAAACACAGAACACCAAGUGAGUUAGUAAAGGAGAUUUUAUCUACUUUACUAUUGUUGUUUUAGCAGGGGUAUUAAUAAUAUUGGGUGGUGCAGGAUGCAUAUAUUGUUUCGUAGAUGAUGCCAAUCAAUUUACCUAUUGGAAUACUAGAGUAGAAGCAAUAUUGACAAGCAACUGUUUCUAGUUUACAAAUAUCUUCCUAAAGUUCUGGAGGAAAAUAGAAGCGAAGCUUCACAUUAUUGGAGAAUAUUUCUUCCAAACGUGGUAUUUUUGUUGAGAUUAAUAAAGGGUAAGAGCUUGAUUUUUCUUAUUCUGGUUAUCCUGGUUUUACAUGGAGCUUUCUACUACAAAAAAUGUUGUGGUUUAAUAGGACCUGUUUGGAUUUGUCUUAAUCAUACAUAUUAACGUGUUAUAAGUAGGUUAAUAUUUGUACAAGUUAUUUUAAAUUUUUCUCUUAAUUUUGUAUUUUCUUAACGGUACUAUAAAGCUCUAAUCUUUGGAGUGAUUUUGUUGAUAUUAUUGAAUGGUAGAGUUAUUAUUUUCUGGUGAA